UACGGAGGGGGCUAGCGUUGUUCGGAAUUACUGGGCGUAAAGCGCACGUAGGCGGCUUUGCAAGUUAGAGGUGAAAGCCCGGGGCUCAACUCCGGAAUUGCCUUUGAGACUGAGUGGCUUGAGUACGAGAGAGGUGAGUGGAAUUCCCAGUGUAGAGGUGAAAUUCGUAGAUAUUGGGAAGAACACCGGUGGCGAAGGCGGCUCACUGGACCGGCAUUGACGCUGAGGUGCGAAAGCGUGGGGAGCAAACAGG
rnacentral:rRNA from 1 species